rnacentral:rRNA from 1 species
GUGUCAGCCGCCGCGGUAAUACGUAGGGGGCGAGCGUUGUCCGAAGUUACUGGGCGUAAAGCGCGCGUAGGCGGCUUCUUAAGUGGCCGGUGAAAUCCCCGGGCUCAACCCGGGAGUGUCUGGUCAUACUGGGAGGCUGGAGUGUGGGAGAGGAGAGUGGAACUCCAGGUGUAGCGGUGAUAUGCGUAGAGAUCUGGAAGAACACCCGUGGCGAAGGCGGCUCUCUGGACCACAACUGACGCUGAGGCGCGAAAGCCAGGGGAGCGAACGGGAUUAGAUACCCGUGUAGUCC